CAGCAGCCGCGGGAAUACAGAGGGUGCAAGCGUUAAUCGGAAUUACUGGGCGUAAAGCGCGCGUAGGUGGUUUGUUAAGUUGGAUGUGAAAGCCCCGGGCUCAACCUGGGAACUGCAUCCAAAACUGGCAAGCUAGAGUACGGUAGAGGGUGGUGGAAUUUCCUGUGUAGCGGUGAAAUGCGUAGAUAUAGGAAGGAACACCAGUGGCGAAGGCGACCACCUGGACUGAUACUGACACUGAGGUGCGAAAGCGUGGGGAGCAAACAGGAUUAGAUACCCCAGUAGUCCCUGUCUCUUAUAA
rnacentral:rRNA from 1 species